rnacentral:RNase_P_RNA from 3 species
GGUGGUUUCCGGUGCAGCCGCUCCUGCUUUCGCAGGGGAGGAAAGUCCGGACUCCACAGGGCAGGAAGCUGCCGAAAGGCAGGCAGGGGUAACCCUGCGGAAAGGGCAACAGAGAGUAGACCGCCUGUCCCGAUAAACUUAAAGUAGGUGUUAGCACCGAAAGGUUUAUCCGGACAGGUAAGGGUGAAACGGUGGGGUAAGAGCCCACCAGCUGUCAGCGUGAGCUGACAGGCUCGGCAACCCCCUUCCGGAGCAAUCCCAAAUAGGGGAACGUUUGAGGGUGGCCCGCCCGAAUGCCUGAAAAGGCUACGUUCCCGGGUAGGGAGCUGAGAUAAAUGGCUGCGUCAACAGAAUCCGGCUUACUGGAGGCCACCGGUA